UGAUGUCUGACACACAGUGGGAAUAGUUGGGACACCGCUGACUUAUGCAAUUAAAGACAACACAGAUCACAUCCUAAAUCAGUCACAUGAAACAAAAACAAGGCUAAACAACGUCUCCCGUCUCACAAUUGAUGGAGCGUCUCACGUUUGCAGAGGAAUCAUUUAGUCAUUUAGAGUUUAAAGGAAAUGCCUCCAAACAAAAUGCUGUUGAAAAUACAUAUGUAUAAAAAGAUGAAUUUACCAACAAACAAAAAAUAAAGAAAUGUGGUUGAGAGUGAUGAGGUGAAUUUGCCUUAACUUAAGAGGAUAAUUAAUGUCUAAACAUGGCUGGAAAAAUUUUAGGCAGGAUAUUUGUGCCAACAAAUUAUGCUUAAUAACUAUUCAGUCUAUCUAUUUAUGGGAAAUGGCUUAUGGGUGUUACGUGUUCGGAAGAAAUCUGACUUUUUCCAAACAUCUGCUUAACACAGAUCCAUCCUCAUCACAGCCAGACACCUGAUGUCAUCAAACUACUUCUGUGAAACGGUAGAAUCUAUUUUUUUCCGAAGGUCUGAUGACAUCACGAUAGGCUGCUGUCCGGCUGCUCUCGGUGCCGAGACGAAACAAGAGCUGAUUGGAGCGAGAGCGUGAUGGACGGACUGAGUCGGAUACACUGUGAUGUUUAAUCUGCACUAAGGUAGAGCGGUUUAUAAUAUAUAUUAAUUCUGAACAAGGUGGCAUCAAAGAAAAUGCAAAUUAAACCAAUCAGCUUGCCUACACCUUUUUGGAGUUUUGACUUUAUGGUUUGGUCAUGUUAUCAGACGUGUGAAGGCAUUUGUAGAAAAGGGUUUUAGUAGGAGAAAAACUGGAUGUGUGGAUCAGAUGAAAUCCUCCAAUAAAGGAUACAAUGUUUCCAGUUGUGUUAAUUUUAGCCAGAAUGCAACAGUGUUGCUCUUGUGUCGCUACAGAGUUGCUACCAUGGGAUGUCAGCUGGACGCCUCAGCUUCAGGAGACUCAACAGACUCCUGAAUAGUUCAUUCUUUAUUCUGGCAUUAUUUCUUUAUUAAUGUUAUUUAGAACGCAGACGAUAUGACUGCCUCCAAGAACUAGCACUCCAUGUUCUAGAACGGUAGCCCUUAAUCAGCCAGUCUGUUGUUUCCCACCCUCAGGUGCGUCGGUUUUCCUAAUCUUUCUAUACUACGUGUUUUAGCUAAUAAACUGGGACUUUUCUCAGCAAUAUUUUCUUGAUUUUUCUCAAACAAGUAAAGGGAGUAUUGAAACGCAGCCCAGUUUGUUCGUCUGCGGAGGCCAUUGUUCUCUGUGCCGGUGGUUUCCUGUCUGUUGGCGAACGCUCAGCUCACUGUUUCAGAGAAGAGCGAGACGUCGCAGCUGCUGCCAUGCAGUCGGCUUUGGUCACAACAGUUAGCAUCCUAAAAGUAAAAUAAUCUCAGGAUGAAUUAUAUGUAUUUUGUUCAUGCCUACAUAUUUUUGAUUCAGAUGACACAGAGCCUUACAGAACUGUGAAAACAGUAUGUGCCAACUUCUUCUGUUUUGCUUUUUGUCAUUACAUGUUCCAGACUUAUGUUUUUUUUUACGUCAGUAAACUCAAAAUGUGUGUUAUUUAAAUGUCCAUCUUAUUUGUUGAGGGGAAAAAUAACUAACAUGACACCAUAUUUAUUUAAAAGUUAGUACCUCUUAACCCAAGUGCUGCUUCUGCCACACUUGGGAGCAAAUCUGCUAUCAAACGAUGUCAGUCUUUGCGAUAACCGGCAGCAAGUCUACUGGAUUGUUUUCGUUCAGUUGUAGAUAAUGCAAGUCCUUUUUUGAUUCCAUUUCAAAACAUGUGAAUCAGAUUUAAAUCCUGUACUUUGACUAGGCCACUCAAAAUGCAUCAAAAUGAUUUUUGAGAGGAUCAUCGUCCUGCUGCAUAACCCACGUUUGGUUGACGUUGAACUUUCUUCUUCAGGAUUUUCUACUCCAGGAUUCAUGUUUUCAUCACUUUGAACCGGUGCUGAGGUCCAGAAGCAGCGGAGAAAGCCCAGAUCAUCAUACUAACACCACUGUGUUUGACAAAACACGGACUGGGACUCUGGGAACCGAGUCAGCUGAGGAGAGAAGAGAGCAUGGCUGGAGUAGUUGGAGUAGUCGUUGUAAGGGUAAUGGGGACAGUCCGGGUCGAAAUCCCGGUGGUUGUAGUUCGCUACAUUUUUGCUGUUCAUGGCCCAGAAGAGUCCCAGGAUGAGCAUGACCACCCCCAGCACCACACAGCACAGCGAGAAAGCCUGCAGGCGGCUCUGGUAGGAGGCCAGGAAGGCUGUGGAGCCCCCGGUCACAAUGAGGAAGGCUCCGACGAAGAUUGCUCCGUGGUGCAGGGAAGGCAUCUCCCCGCAGGACUGCAACCUGUCUCUGAGCUCUCUGCUUGGCUGGGGCCGGCUGGACGGUGUCAUUCACAUGUAAACAGUAGCACAGAGCGCGGUCCCCCUGUGCACUCUGACAAAGACCAGAGAUCCGAGCGAUUUACAAGAAACCCCGACGAGACGAGUCCUUCUAAAUCUCACUGUUUGGUCUCCAUCACUUCCAUCUCCAUUAGUGCUGAAACACUGCCGGUCAUUUUUAGUCCAUGUGUUUAUUCUCCCACUUCUGUUCCAAAUUGUUGGUCUGUUGCAAAACUUGGGGGGGGGAACAAAAAUAAAAGAAGAAUGAAAACGUUGAACGCUUUGAUGCGCAUCAGGCUAAUGUUGAGCAGCUGUGUGUUUAUCAUCAAGCCAGAUGGACAAGAGGACGGCAGAGCCCAUUAAGAAAUCUUUACUGGCGCCCCACCCUCCCUCUAAUGUGUCCGAAGGGUACCACUUUAGCCUGCGUGUGUGUCUGCAAGAGGGGAUGAGAGACAGGAAGAGGGACAGAGAGUGAAAGAGUGCAGGUCGAAGCUAUUUUUCUGAGCACAAAUGGACGUAAUAUAGAGGACAAUUGGAUGUAUUCUUCAGCAAUGUGUGUCAUGAAGCGCCAUGACUCUGAACCCUGAUUAAGUUUGAGAAAUUUACAAAGUGCAUCCAGUCUUAAAUAAAGAGAAAAUAAGUCCCA